rnacentral:lncRNA from 12 species
UGUGAGGGGAUGGAGACACUGACACAGGAUCAAUCCCUCAGCCCAGGUUCUGGAACUGCUCCGGAGCCCUGAGCAGGGUCAGGGACACUCUCUGUGUGACACAGGGAUCAGUCCCUCACCCCAAUCCCUGGCACACCUCAGAGCAGGGUCAGUGACACUCUGUGUGUGACACAGGGAUCAGUCCCUCACCCCACCCCCCCCCCCCCCCCCCCCCCCCCCCCCCCCCCCCCCCCCCCCCCCCCCCCCCCCCCCCCCCCCCCCCCCCCCCCCCCCCCCCCCCCCC